rnacentral:rRNA from 1 species
UACGGAGGGGGCUAGCGUUAUUCGGAAUUACUGGGCGUAAAGCGCACGUAGGCGGACUGGAAAGUCAGGGGUGAACUCCCGGGGCUCAACCCCGGAACUGCCUUUGAAACUCCCAGUCUUGAGGUCGAGAGAGGUGAGUGGAAUUCCGAGUGUAGAGGUGAAAUUCGUAGAUAUUCGGAGGAACACCAGUGGCGAAGGCGGCUCACUGGCUCGAUACUGACGCUGAGGUGCGAAAGCGUGGGGAGCAAACAGG